AAAUUCGUUGCCCUCAGCACAAACGCGCUGCCUUUCUCCACAAGGGCAGUUCUCGAGCAGCAGCAGCUGAGGCCGCUUCUGAGGGGGGCUGUGACCGCCGUCCUCGCGCCUUUCUGCCCUCACAGCUGCGCGGCCGCUUCACCGCCUGCAAAGGAGCUGCGGCUUUUGCUCAACCUCGGCGUCGUUCGCUCGCCGCGUGCCCUUGCAAGGUUGUUGACACAUGUGGACCAACAGUGACAUCCUUCUUCAGCAAUGCUGUCUUUACUCCCUCCUGCAUUCAGAAGCAUCUAGAGAGAUUUCUUGCCAAAGGUAGGUUCUGGCAGUUCAGCUGCAUGGCUGUUCUUUUCCUUCUGUGCUAGAAAAAAGCAUGUAGAUGUUACUAGGGAGAAUGGUAAUGAGUCUCGUGGAGACUAGAGUGCUGCUGCUGAGAGAAGGGAUCAACCUUAGCUUGGGUUGCCUGGAAUAGACUCAGGGGAAAGGUGAGUGAAGUGGAGUCUGGAGGAAUGGCCUGUAGGUUGCCUUAGAGAAGGGUUUGGCAGUCACAGAACGUGGUUGGCUUAUAUUGCAUUGAUGUGGAUUGGUAAUAGAGCUCUUCUUAAAGAAAACUCAUGCUCCACACCUAUUUGUGCUCGGUCAGUGUUCUCAUUUAUUUGAAAUAAUUCAAUUAAAUCAAAAGGGGAAAUGAAAUGGCCAUGCAGGAUGUGUGAUUAACAUACAUUUUGUGUUUAAAUCUUUUGUGGGUCUCACCCCUUCCUCCCCCCCCAAAAAAAAGUGUUUGGUCUGAAAUAAACAAAUGUGCACCUCCUGGUACUGCCAUGACUUUGCUGUUAGCUUCUACCUCUUAUUUUCCUCUCUGAAGUCCUAACUUACUUGACGUUUUCAAGAGAAUUGAGAUGCAAAACUUCCACAGCAAAAAGCGAAGAAGCGUAGAUGGGAACAGAGCACCCUGUGGGCUUUUUAACAAGCAAAUCUUAAGAGAUUUGGUGCUUCUUGUGAUUUUUGUGCACCCUUGUGCUCUAACUUGUAGAGUGUGGCUUGUGGGUUAGCUGGGUGCCUUUCCAUCUCUACUGAUCUGCUUUUGUGUGAGUUCUAGAAAUAUGUCUCACAGUCUGUACACAGAAUUACUGGCUGAACUGGAAUUUUUCAGCAGAUGGAAUGUCAGCCUUUACCUGAAUGAGUAGUUUUGCAUCUUCUUGUUUUCCUCCAGUGCAUUCCUUGCCACUUAAUUUUUUUCCCCUCUGUCGGAAGGGGUGUUUUUAACAAUUAGGUCCACCAAACGUUUUACUUUGUGUUGACAUGGUGAUACAGCAAUAUUGUUGUUUUUUUGCUGCUGGAUGCUGAGACUCAGAAUUGCAGGCUUUUAGUUUAAGAGCUAUGGACUGCUGCAAAGACCAGAGAAAGGGUAAAUGAGUUUUGGUCUGAGCUGUUUUUGUGUCAGACUAAAAUGUAUUUUCAGUUCCUCUGGACUGGUACUCAAGUCGCAGCAGUUAUACUGAAACCACAACGACACCAGCUUUGUAUUGACAUGCAAAGCCAGAAGCCCUUGAAAACUAAGGGUUAUUUGACUACCUUAAUUAUCUCUUGUCAGCAAAUUGACUCCUGAUGAAUUAAUUGCCAUUCCCUGUGCCGAUUCCCUUCCUGAAGCCUCUCUUCAGCAUCGGCAGAGCCCUUGGCCAGCUCAGGCAGACUGCUCGCCACACUGCAGCCCAUCCCUCCCUGGGUGGGAUACCCGAAUUUCUCCUGAGAGCCCAGCAGCUUCUGUCCUGCACACUGCAGCUCUGGCUGAGCUGUGCACAGCUUUCUGUGGGAGCAGUCGCUGCUGUCAGCAACUUUACCAGAGGAGUUGCUGCUGCUGUAAGAAUUUGUGCUCCUGGGCUGAGGGAGGACAUCAUGUCUCAAAAGCUGCAUCUCCCUUCCCAUAGAUCCCUCGAAGUCCCCUCACUCCCCUGUAGGCUGUUGUAAAGGAGGGAGUGUUUGAGUUAGUGGUAGCAGCAAAGAAGCGCUGUCCUUAGCCAUGUUUAGGGUCUGCUUUGUUUUGAGGCUGUGGGACUGCUCUUUUUGCUUGCCUGAAGGACUUGGCGCUCCUCAGGGCUGACAUUCCUCUCUGUAAGAGGUGCCUGAGUGGUCAUUAAGAGCCUGAGCAGGUGAGGGGAAACUGCCUUGGUAUUGUGUUUGCAGCAAAAUGAAUCUGUGCAGCUUGCGUCACUGGAGAGCAAGUAAUGUCCCUGGAUUGGCAGGUAAGGAACAUAGGGAGAAAAAUGGCUUUUAAACCUUGUCAGGGAAUGCAGCAUUCAUGAAAACAAAGGGCUGAAUAACAAUGUCCAGAGCACAGGAAAGUGCUGUAGGCACUGAGUAAUUUCCUCCUAUGUCCUGUCAGCAUCCCUAUGCAUCAGGACCUCUGAGCAGAGGAAUAAUGAGGAGAGGAGGGUCCUCUGGAAGUUGUACCUGGAGUAUUCUGUAUGGGAUUGCUUUGCAAUCUAGGAAAGUGUAUUGAAUCCCUGGCACAAGCAGAAAAGCAGAGCAGACACUGAGGGGUGCAUAUGUAAGUGCCUGUGAUGCUUGAGCACAGCUGUGGGACCACAGCAAGAAGUCAGCUUGUAGGAGCAGUGUGGGGGGGAGGGGGAGGUGGAUGAUGGUGAUGCAGAUGAUGGCGGUGGCCCCUCUGAAUUGUGAAUGUACUGUCAAAUGGAAUCCCAGGUUAGCUUUGCAUUUGGCUCCUUGAUGCCUUGCUGGCAGCACCUGCUCUCAAGCCUGUGUAGCACUGUGCUCUAACACUUAGGUACAAUUCUGCCCAGGUUACGUAACACGGUGAACUUUCUCUUUCCAGAGCCUUGUGUCCUUCUAUGUGGACGCAGACUAGGGCUGAAUUUUGUUUUUUUGUGCUCUUUGCUUACCAGGGGACUUGUCCCAUAACCUGUGAUGUGAGAAUAGUACCUAUUGUGAGGGGUGAGUUUAAUGAAACUGACUGAAUUCAGCACCAUCUAUUGUUAUGUUGGAUCGUUCACAGAGCACUCUGCAAAGCACCGUGCAGUGAGUUAGAUCAAGGUGAUAACACUUCAGAGAGGUGGGUGAUGGCUGCUGUUGUACCAACAAGGAGGGCAGCCCUGCUAGGCAGCCUGACAGCACAGCUGCGGUGUUCCCACACCUGUGUGUAGCAGCAUGGGUUAGAGUGGCACUUGUUAUGGGGCCAGGCAGUUUGAUGUUAGGAAAUGGCUAGUGCGUGGAUGGACGGGUUUUUCUCAUGGUCCUUUUCUUCCUUUUUAUAAUAGAAACACUAGAUGAGUAGUGGAGGAACUGUUUGGACAUAUGUAUUUAACUGGGAGGAAAGAGCUGUGACGCUAACCACAAACUGACGGUUUCCUGCUGCAAGUAACUUUCUAUAGAUCUAAACCUCAUUCGUUGUGUCUGUGCUGCUGUUUAAAUAGCUGGGGAAGAUUCGACUGCUUCUAGGCUGCUUAUUUUUGACAGUCUUUGUUGUAGCAGUUUGGGGAUGGUGGCAUGAAGACAGAUCAUUACAGAUCUAAUAAAAAUUCAGGACUGGUGGAGUCCAGAAGGCUUCUGGAUCUUAUGAUCUUGUAUAAUGUAGAAGUUGAGAAGCAAAGCCAUUAAACACAUGGCAGAUUGAUUUUUGUAAUUACAUUUGCAUGUGUAGAGCUCUGUUUAUUUCAGGGGAGAUGGGAUGUAAUUGCAUGAACCUACCUGUGUCACUGAGACCUCUUCACCCACCACUGCAUACUUUUAAUUCUCCUUCCCUUCCCCGUCCUGCCUCCCUCUGAUGUGUUAAAUAUCACAGCUGCAAAAACGAGAGCACGUUUCUGCCUGCCCUUCCCUUUGCAGCUGGAAGGCUUGGACAGAUUCUUCCCUUGUGGUUUGUGAUACUGUAAAUAAAGGCUUGGGAGGUCACACGUUUUCCAUCUCAAGUUAUUUUGAUUCCAGCGCUGGAAUGGGUUUGGGGGGGGGAGUGGAGAAGGGAAGGAGGGGGGAAAAAGAAAGAAACAAACAAAAACCCAAACUGAUCUGGUUUAUUGCAAGAAAAACAACUCAGCAAUAUGAAGUAAAAACAAUGAGGGGAAAAGAAGACUUCAGUCUUUGACUAAAGCUGAGAGUUGGAGAAUUAGAGUCAAAGAUUUCACAGGAAUCUACUAUUAAGAUGUGGAAGAGAAGCUAUCUACAAAGUGAAGGCUCUGAACGCCGUGCUCCUGUGAUCUGGUGCUGUUCCUGAGGGCUUCUGAAAAAUUAUCUUUAAAGGCAUGUUGAUGUGACUCUGUAAGCGUAUUGGUGAGUAAUUUCACCUGCAUUCAUAAUGAACAAGCCUCGUUAAUACAGUUACUCAUGUGCCUAAAUGUCAGUUAAGGGAGCUUUGAAAUGUGGAGCUGAGAGGUUCUGCCCGUGGGUCUCACAGGCUGUGAUGCAUCCUGUGGUUCAGUGCCCCUGAGCUGCUGCUUCCAGGGCAGGGCAGGAGCUGACCGUGGCUGGUGGAAAGCAUGAAGUGCUCGCUUUGCCUGCUGCUGAUCAGUGCACGGGUACAGUUCUGCGCUGGUUUGCAGAGGCAGAAGUGCUGGGAUGGCUGUUAGUGCUGUUACUCACAGCUGGUGCCCUGCCCUGGGCAGGUUUGGUCUCCUCAGCUGUGGUUCUUUCCAUGUUGAUGUUCGAGGUUUUGGUUGUUCACAGAAAACACUGCUUAGCUUUAAACUUCUAUUUCAUGUGUUUAAUUUUGAUACUUGCAGCAUCCUGUUUUGGACUUGCUGAGAACCAGGUCUGGUGGGCUUUAUUACUGACUGGUGCUAUGCAACGUGAUUAAUGUUGGCUUGCUGGGAAGAAGCAGUUACUGGCAACUGUGUCACCUAUUUCUGCUGGGUUUUGAAGAGACCUUUUCCUGGUAAAGAUUUUUUUUUCGUUACCUUUAUCAAAACAGGAUAUAAAACGAGAGUAUAAUUCGCUGCUAGAGAGUCCUCAUUUACCUCGAUACUAGGGAAAUAUCUCUUCUUUCCAUAAAUCAUUACAUUUAUAGGUGUACAACAGGAACAAAAGAGAACCAUUCCCUAUCCAGACGUUAAUGUCUGUGCAGAUGGUCCUUUGACUCAAUAACUUUUCUUCCUUGGUCCUCCUUUGUGUUUUUUCUUUAGCGGGCACGUGACAUAUGGCCAUAAAAAAUACUGGCCCAGUUUCACCCUUGCUGUAGCUCAUUGACGUCAUUAAAGCUACAGCAGGGAUGACUUGGCCCAGAUUCUUUAAAAAUAAGACCUGAUGAACAACCCCCUCAUGGAAAAGCUCUGUAGAGGUUGUCCUGAGCAUAGUGUAGAGCAGACGCUAUGUAAUUCACUGUGACUUUGGCAACCUCCCUAUGAAAUGAGGUUGGCCCCUUCCUGAAGGGGAUGCAGGACAUGCUCUUGGACUCACUUUUGUGAUGCCUUACCUGUAGGAUGGAAAGGGACCGAUAAUGGAGCGAUUGAAGGCACUUAGAGGCAGGUCAGGGUGGGGAUGUCACUUGCCUGAAAGUUUUCAGGGGUGGAUUCCAUCUUUGGGCUCUCCAACACGCAAGGGCAGUUCUUGGGCAAAGCGAAUGUGGUUGAAACGAUCUGCGGAAAACCUUUGCCUUGAGCAAGGUGGUUUGUAUCAGCUUCAUCUCCCACAAGCCAGUUUGUUCUUCCUCCUGGCUGCUGCCCAGCAGUAGCAUUCCCUGCCCCAUCCCAGGACUGGCACCCACAGAUCCGCUGCUUCCCUUUCCUGGAGCAUGGGAUGCUCCUGGGCUCAGCAUCCCAAAGCAGCUCUCCAGUGCGGCUGCUUCUGCAGCCAUCCUGACCUCUUCAUAGCACAGGAUAUUACAGUGAAUGGACAUGAAAGAAGGCAGCACAAACUAUGGCAAAAUAAUAAACUCAAACAACAACCCUUGAUCCUGGGUAAGUUGAAAUGCAGUUUUUACAUCUGAACAAGCUGAGAACAGACACAAAUAUAAAAAGUUCUUGAAAGCAGAUGCCUUCAUUUCUUUGUAUGAAAAUAAGGGCAGCGAUUCAUGGGUGGCAGUUCUGCAGAACUCUGCACUAACUUAAAGCCAGUGUUUUGCUCACAGUUAUAAAUAACUGCAGGAAGAAACAACCUUUAAAGAGCGGUUGUAGCCCCGAAGCCAUAUCUGUAAUGGAUGAAUGCUUGAUGGCUGUUUGCAAUGCCAAUAUUUGUUGCUGAGAGCACCUUUAACUUACUCAGCUGAAUUUUCAGUUCUUGGUGGCAAUAACUGUGUCUGGCCGAGGCAGGUCUCUUGCAGCUGGUCCAAGAAAUCAGAUAGUUAUUUUUCUGAUGCCAGACUCUUCUGGUCCAGUGAAUAUAACUGCAGGAACAUAUAGUUCCCAAGAAGGAAAAUGCUUACUGUGAGUUUGGUGACAGCUGAAGAUAACAUGGGAGGGGGGUGUGGAGAGAAUAACACAUUUGUCUGCUUUAAGAGCAUGUUUGUUUUAAGGGAUUUUUAAGUUGGAAAGUUUUUUGCAGACGAAAGCCAAAAUAGUGUCAAAGUGACAUUGGCUAGUAUAAAUAGUGAAGGGAGAAUGAGAUCUUUAAAAUAUAUUUGGUCUUCUGAUUAGUCCAAAACUCUGCUGGUAAGACAGGGAGGGAAAUCUGGGUUUAACCUGAUAAACGUCCUUCUUGCUGUGGAAGUGUCAGAAGCAAGGAGCACUCACAACCCAGGGACCACAGUCCCAGUGGGCUUCUAAGGGAGAGAGGGGGGAAGGGUGAUUGAAAUUCUGGCUGCCUCAAGGGCCUUUGGAAGCAGAUGUUUGAUGGUAUGCAGAUAAGUGAUGUUAACUUUUUAUUGCAUGAAAUACACCCUUAUUUGAGGAGACAGUCCUGCUUUGUGCAUGUCUUGUGCUGCUUUCCUCCAUCCAUUCCAAGCUCCCUUAUGUUUUGUAUGCCUGUGGACCUGUUUAGGGUGGUAUCCUACUGAGACCAAAAGCACAGCGUAGUGGGUUUGAGCAAAACCCGCCCUGGGACCUGAGAUAGGUAGAGCUGUCACAGCUCCUCUGAGCAGACAGCUGGGCAGCAUGGAUGGGCUUGGAUGUAUGGCAGCUCCAGGAGUGCUUGCUUAUCGGAGAAGAGGGUUAAAGGGUGAGGAGAAGGUGUGAAAAUCCUUGUAUUCAGUCUUCCCAGCUGGCCCACAGCAGUUCGUGUUCUGGAAGCAGACUUGGGAUGAGCGUUGUCUGAACACUCAGGUGUUUCUUUUGGCUAAAAGCAUGAUUUUCAGGAAGGUGUGUAACUGCCAGUGAGUAACUGUGCUGUGCUUGCACAUACACACAUACAGUGUGCACAGCCUUCCAUCUGAGCACUGCACGCAGCUUGGGAGCAGUGCUGGGAAGCUGUGUGUCACAGCCAAGCUGCGGGCUGUGUCCUUUAACACAGCAGCACAUGGAUGUGCACGUUGCACAGCUGUCCUGGGUUGCAUGCUGGUUAUCAGUGAGAUAACCUCAGCUGAGCCCAAGGGCUGGAAGUGUUGUCAGGGGGUUGCUGACCGGGGACCGCUUGAAGUUUUCAAGCUGACACUCCAUCAUGAGUGGAAACUGCCAUAAGUGUCCCUUCUGACAGAAGGCAGUGGGUUCUGCAGCACGGGUGUGCUUUCAUCUCGGUGCCUGGCCCUGCAGGCUGCAGCAGAUGGACUGACAAACUCUUGUGCAUCCUUUUUGUUUAUGAAGAUUGAAUGGAAAUCAGUAUGCAGAUCAGGAGCUCUCUGAGUAUCUGAAGAAAAUCAUCCCGGCAGUCGUGUUUGGUUAAAAAAAUAAAAGGAGGGGUGGGUGAAUGCUGUAUUUAUUCAGAUUAGGAGCAAACUUGGGGAAAGAGCUCAAGAGAAGGGGAAUGGUCCAGUGCAGGAGAAGAGCUUUCCAUGUACGUGACUGGAAUUCUUACCUUAUUCUGGAUGUAUUGAGCAUUAAGCUCUAGAGCAACAGGCUGACUUCAGCUCACUGGGUGCUGUAGGCCUAUGGGGUUCAGCUGUGUUCUUGAGGGCUGCUGGAGAGCAGCAAUGGAUGAUGGAAGGGGAACUCUUCCAUCACUCUUUGUGCUUGUAUGAGAACUAAGAAAACAACCGUGAAAUGAAUGUGAGCUAUUUCGUUGAUCCGUGGUUCUUGUUUGUAUACUAAUUCUUGUUUAUAGCUAGAAUGCAGUCUACCAAUAAAAAGUUCUCUUUUUAUUCUUUUAGGUUUUUUUCUAAUUUAUUUUGAAGAGGUUUAUUUUGAAGGAUUAUGUUUCUAGGUAACUGUUGGAGGUUGUUUCUGGGAAAGGCUGCCAAAAUGCUUAUGAACCCAUGGCUGCACCAGGUACAUACAGUCUCCUUUGGAAAGUUUGGCUGUUCCCAUGUGACCUCAUGGAGGGGCCGGGGCUGCACUGGGAUGUGUGAGUCCUCCCAGCUCCCUGCCCACGCCGAGCCUGGAAAUAGCUCUGCCGGGAGCAAGCAGUGUCACAGCGGGGGUGAGUCGCUGGAUGGGCCCAGUUCCACUUAUCUAAAUGAGCUGUGAUCUUGAAUUUAACAUGCUGUUUCAUAGCUAAGAUAAGAGGCGCAUGAAUUAGAUUAUUGCUGGAGAAAAAAAUAGAGGGGUGAUGUUAUAAAUACUUCUGUGAGAAGUCGAGCAAAGCAUUAGCCGGUCUUUUUAUAUUUAUGAACAGCGGUGGACAAAGGACUCUUUCCCUUUCUUUUAGAUGUAAGCUAAGUGUUAACAUUACUAUUGCUUUGAAUAAAGUGGUUUCUUGCUGCCCAGCCUCCUGUUGCUGGUAGCUCUGGAAGCGCUGUGCCCAGCAGAGCACUGAGGACAUGCUGGAGCUGCAAGCCCUGCACUGCGGACAGCGGCCUUCCCCUCGCAGGAGGGCAGGAUGUGGGUAAGAGCCUCACACUGAGGUGCUUCUGGCCCCCAUGUUGCAGUCUAGCACCCAGCCCUGCCGGUGUCACCCACACUGCUCUGAGCCAGCCCCACUGCUGGACACAGCCUCCCCAUGUAACAGCAGCUGAGAAACUCUGGCCAGGGGCUAAGUUACAUCAGGCUGCGCUUCCAGAGGUUAAGCUGAUUGCAGAUCUCUCAGAUAAAAAUCUUUCUGUACUAAUAAAUGCAUGCCUGCAAUAGUUACUGUUAGUGCAUGGAAGCUCUCAGAAAGAAAAAAUUCCCAAACGAGCUGUUUGUGCGGUGUUUGCUGACUGUUAAGGAUGGGUGUCGUUAAUUGGGCUCUGCCCCCUCCAUCGGAGCAGGGUGCAUGCUCUGCUGGCACACAGCCCUGUGCUCCUGGCAGAGCUGCCAAGCACUCAGAGCUGCUUGCAUUGCCUCCGUGGUGGCCGGGCUUGUGGGCAGGUUGGGUUCCUGCGUUGUGCCGGGGAAGGCAGGCAGCCUCACAGGGAGAUUUUUCUUGUGCUGGGGUCUUUGAGAGCCAUACGGCUUCCCCAUGGGUGCAGCUCCUGGGCAGGGCUGGCGGUGGGGACCUGGCUGAGCAUCUGCUGCUGACUCAUUCUAUCUGCAGCUUUUCUCCUAAAAGAAGAAUGCAUUGUCUGUAUGUUACAAGUAGCUCAAUUCUUCCUAUAGGGAAUGAGACUUGUUGGAAGUCAAUCUCACCUAAUCCGAAGCAUCACAUAAUAAUAAAGAUCAUCUUAAUUUCUACCCUUGAUAGGUGGGGAGGCAGUAGCUCACCCUUUGGAGCUGUGAUUUGUCUUUGGAAAACAAUCUUCCCCAUUUUGCAUAAACGCUGUAUUGCAGCCCGCCCUUAUUAGCCACUGAUUAGAGGGUCCUUUGUGAAGUAUUGUCUGUUUCUGACUUAAUUUAAUUAAUAUGGAACCAGUAAAAUUUCUGUGGAAACAAAGCAGGAGCGAGGUUAGUACCAGAUAAACGUGUGUGCUGGGCUGUGAAAGUGAACACAGAACUAAUUUCUUAAUGGGACCGCUAGAAGAACAAACAAAUCUACAGAGCCACGGUUGUGUGCCUCAGCUAGAAAUAUGUUUGUGGAUAUAAUUAAACUCCAGUUAAUAACAUAUUGCCCUCAUCUUGGCGAAGAACUGGUUUGGGCUGUAGCUGAGCGCCCAGAGCACUUUGCUUGAUCUCCUCGGUGUGGCCUGCAGCCCUGGUGGCUCUCCCAGUGAUGCGCUGCCAUGGGCAAGAUGGGCAGAUGGGGGCCUGUCAUGGCACGGCGUGGGGGAUGGCUGAGCACGAAGGUAAUGUUUCAGGCUUCACUUUUUGCAUUGCAAAUCCCAUUUCCUAAAUAAGCUGCUUGCACCGGUGCGUUAAAUGAUUUAUUACCGCGGAGCUUUUCUUCACCCUGGAAAAAACCAGAAGGUGAGCGGUGUGUUUGAGAGCUCCGUGCUGAAUGUUAUGUGAUUAAGUUGUACUUUUGAGGUGACGCACUUGGGCGUAUCGUUCUCAAGACCAUCUUUGGUUUGGGGGAUCGUAAAUGCUGGUCCCAGCUGUAAUGAAGUGCUUUGCUGCUUAAUAUGCUCCUAUCAUGGCGUGUGUUUUUUGUUCAAAUAUUAAAUCACGGUGUCUAUGGCUAUAAUAAUGCGGUUGUUUUAUGUCUUGGAACAGGGGAAAAUAAUUUGAUUUAGUUGGAAUAAUGUGAUUGUAACGUGCCUCUGGGUUUGAAUUAAAGGGGGAGGUGUGCAGGUGGCUGGCAAGGCAGCACCGCGCUUCUGAUGCUUUCCUGCAGAAAUUCCGCUGCCGUGGAGGGCAGCACAUUUGUUUCUAAUGGAACAACUUGUGAGCAAACACUGGGAUGUUUAUGAUGACAGGGAAAGCGGUAGAAAAAUACAGGCUAUAAAAUCCCCCUCGUUAAGGUGUAAUUGGCUUGGCAAGGCACAGAGCUGGGCGCUGGCUGUGUGCCGCGCUGGGCAGAAAGGCUGCCUGUGGGCAAGCAGCUGGCUGCAUGCGUGGCCUGGGGAGGCAUGGGAUCCUCUGGCACAAACUGCUUUAAAAAUCAAGGGUUUAUUUCUCCUUCUGAAGGGAGAAGAAGCGCGAUGGUUUCUCGAAUCAGGAUGACUGCACCGAUUCAAUUGUAAUUUGAUAAAUGAAGUAUAAACGUCCAGGGAACGACCUCCUGUAAAAUGCAGAAGUGCCUGAAUCGUUUGUGCUUUAAAUCUUGCUCCGCAUCUCUGUAUUUCCUGCUCGUGCUGUUCAUUAGAGUAGUCUCCUGUGCCCUGUUGUUUUGGGGUUGGUAAUGGAUAGCUAAGUGGUGCAUGCUGAAAAGACAAUUUCUGUGUAAGUAAAGCGCUGUGCCUUACUUUGCAUAAAGUGCCUUGUGGGUGUGGGGCAGAAACCCUUCUGAUUUCUGCUCCACUGUGUUCAUAGCCAGGCUCUGAAAUGGAGCUGUGCUGUCUGUGUACCCCUGGAUGGCUGUUCAUUGGGACCUCCCUCCCUCCCUGUGCAAACCCAUGCUGCAGAGCAGCCGUGCUUUCUUUCCAAGCGAGUCCUGAGGAUUUACAUGCUCUCCAGAGCUCAAGGGUGUGACCAGCUUACCAGCAAGACCAAGUAUUUUCUUUGCUUUUCUGGUUUGGGGCUAAGCAUAUCUUGAUUAUGUUUAAUGCUUCCAGUUGCCAGCGUAUCAGCAGGGAUUUGUUUUGCCCUUCAGAUGGGUGCAGCAUUACGUCAGCCCUUCUGUAGCUGCCCAUGAAGCUGUGGGUCCUCCUCUGAGGGCUGUGUGUAGGAAGCGAUAAAACUUUAUUAGAGAGUUAGUUCCUUUAUUCUUGGUGUACUUUUUAUGAGGAAUCAGCUUAUGCAUUUGAAGGACAGUGGGGGAAAAAAGUUGCCAGGCUUUCUGGGGUUGGGCUUUGCUUGAGAAAAAUCAUUUUGCUGCCUAACCUGCCCUUUGCCCCACCUCAGUGCUGCUGCUGCCUCCGCCAGGGAUGCAGGGAGUCCCUCUAGCUUUGGCUGAGCUGCUUCUCCAGACCCUGGUGUUCAUCAGUGGGGAGCAUGGUGUGACAGCUGUGCAGAAGGGAAGCAGCUGGGGUUGAGCCUGUUUCCUUGGGUGCCUCACUGUGCCACUUUGUUUCAGUCGAGCUCUUCUUAAUGGGAUCUUCUCUUUGGGAGUCUUUGCAAGCUGGUGUGUGUGGCAAACACAGCACCAAAGUACGCUGUGUGCUCCAUCAGCACCUGCACCUGGAACGUGUGAGCUGUCCCAGGAGAGCUGGUGUGUCCUUUUGUCCAUAGGUUGUGCUCUGGGCACUGAAAGCCUCAAAUCAGGGGGUUCUCUGGAGGCUCCGAGCUCUGGAUAGAAACCUACAUGAUGGUGCUGCUGAUGGCUCUGCUGGGUUUCUGCUCUGCCUGAACUAGAAAGUGGGCUGGCUGCCUGGAGAGAUGCUCUGAGCAGGGCACUGGCCAAGAAAUCUGUGCUGGCAGCAACAUGGUGCUGGCAGAGAGCAGCCUGAGUAGGUAGGAACUGUCAGGAGCUUGGGGAAAUGAGAGGAAUCUUUAUUCCUGUUUUUUUGUUUUCUUUUUUUCCUGGGAUAUGCCAAGAAUAGGUGAUUCAGGAAGGGAAUACCUGGCACAGUGUGAUGGCAGCUGAGCCAGCUGCCCCAACGAUGCUUUGCCAGGAGCCUUUGGGCCUGUUAUACUUAGUAUAAGUACAGCUAACUAAAUAAAACAAUUGCUACUAUCAAUAAAGCUAAAUGAGGGCUAAAAGCCUUGAAUGUACCUUACGUGUUCAGCAUUUGUUCCUUUCUGCUUCUGCAGGCAGUUAAUGGAGCACGUACAGAUACUGGGCAGCACGAUGGCCCGUCACAACUUCCUCCCAAGAUGAAGGAUAUGUUUGUGUGGUCCAAAUUCUUUUAUUCUUCUGUCUCCCUGGUGGGGAGGAAUUGCUGAUGAUAUUUGUAGACCGGCUCCUGUUGGGAAGUGCUGACUGGAGGGAGGAAAUGUGUGGCAAAUUCCUUCAUAAGCACUUUUCCACUUUAUUUAAAAAGGCUGUUUGUAGCUAAGAGCCCAUCGGCACCAGGAGGUGGUUUUGUUGCAGCAGUGCCUUAUUGCAUGGAAGCCUGGCAGUCUGCUUCUGGAUGGUGGCCUCAUGAACAGCCCCUGGGUAAUGCUGUAUGUAGGACUUUUUCUAUUUAUGUAGAGUUCGAUGCAGCUUCUUUCCAUGUAGCUGAUAGAGCAGCUCGGUGAAGUGCAUGUCCAUGUUUGAAUUGUGCUUUCAAUUAGCAGCAGCCAGUCCUAGUGCAUUUGUCCGGGCUCUCUAGAGGGCUGCUGGAUGGGUCCAACCCCCUCCUACAGCCUGGGGUCAGAACCCCAAGAACAGGUCUGCACGCUGCCUGGCUGCGUUGCAGCAUCUCUCAGAAGCUGUUAGGGAAAUCUGGUGGUGAUUUUUGCAUAAGGUACUAAAAUUGGAGGAGCAGAGCUAUGCUGUGAAGAGUUCUGGUGAGAAUAAUCCUGCCCACAGCUGUGCCAGCAGUGAGCAGCAGUCAGAGCUCUCAGAGUGCACGUUCUCCCACCCAGCAGCAAGUAGCACAGUAACCGGUAAGGGAUGUGAAGGGGGAGUUGUUGUUCUGUCCUGAGCGCUUGCCUAAUAGUAGUAACAAUUCUGUACUUAACCUGCCAAGUUUUUCUCUAGGGUAGUAGUGAAGAGAUGGGGGAGAAGCGUGUGGCAAAAAGAACAUGGCAGAGAUGAAGAGUUGCUGUUAGAUCUCAGUUUGGUUUAAAUUAUCUUUACAUUUGCUUAAGGAAAAGGUAAUGUGUUCCCUAAUCUCUCAAGCUGCCGUAUCUGCAGGCUGGCUAAUGCAGAAUCUCUGGGGAAAAUACGGUGGCAAGGAGAGUCAUGUGUAUUUUGCAUCUUCUCUAUCUUCCUCUCCCUCCAGUUAAAGAGCAUUCAGGCUCGAGUGCCCCGAGCUACCCAGGUGCAGAGGAUAUUAUGGAUUCUCCAUAUUGCCAGCCCUGCUUUUCUCUCCAUGCAGCGCAGCUCAUGCCAAUACUCCCCCACUUGCAUUUGCACUUCUGGCAGCAGUCACUGCACAGUGUGAGCACUGCACAGUGUGAGCGCUGCACAUGUGCGCUUCCCCUGCAGCUCCUCUGGCAGCAGCACCGUGUGGUCCCUGCCACAAGGCAACGGGCUUGGCGUGGGCUGGGGCUGCUGGGAGGCUGCACACACGUGAGCCACACUCCUGGCAGCCAUUGGAGGCAAUGGGAUGAAGGAGAGCUGCGGUUCCCUUCUGGUUUCCGUUGGAGUGGGGAAAUAGUGCAUGUUGUGUUCUGUCGUACACUUCCACCAUUCAAGGGCUCCCAGCCCGAUUUGCCAAGGCAGAGGCUUGACGUGAGGCCAAAUGCACUUGACAGAAGUCUCUCUGCUGUCAAAGCCUCUCCUCCUCCUGUGCUAAAACAAAGCUCCAGAGUCACGCUGCUCCUUCCUUCCCUUGGCUCUGAGCAGCAGAAAUGCUGCACGUCCUGGAGCUGUUCUGGGCAGGGCUUUUGUUACUGUUAUUCAAAACUCACUUUUCCAUUUAAAAGAUGCGAUAGUGGCGCAUUCAAAUGAAAUAGCCACAGAGAAAUGAUUUUGUGCUUUCUUUAAUUGGACCGUGUUAGAUUUUAUUUACUGAUAACAUCCAAAGGGAGCUGUCGGAAUAAUGCAGGAAGAGAGAAUGUGUCCAUUGUGGUAAUGUGCUUUUGGUAAAUGCGUUAUGGCAGAGUUAUGAAGUCAGAAAGAAGCCUUAAUUACAGUUAUGAAGCCAUUAGAGUCUGAAGCAGCAAUCCAAGCUUUUGCUGCAAUUGUGUUUUAUAUUUCUUCACUAAAGGCUUUAGUAUGUGUGUGUAUGUGUGUGUGUGUAUAUAUAUAUAUACAUUAAAAAAAAAAAAGGACUUGUUUUAGAGGGUAAUUUCUCCUUUUGUUUUCUUUGCCUCUUUUGGUGCAGAAGUGAUGGUGAGGUAUGGUGGAAGUAUGGUUGCAUAUGGCAGCAGUAAGCUGCAGAGAUCUGCAGCAAUAAAUAGAGCUCUUCUCAGAGCACGUGCUGCUCCUGCUAAUCCAGUGCUGAGGGACCCAAUGCCCACACCAGUGUAGCAUUAGAAACUGCUGAACUUGAUGCUCCCACCUUGGGGAAAGGGAGGGCAGGAUUAGUCUCCAGGAGCCUCUUGCAGAGCUCCCUCUGGGUCCAGGGAAGUGGAACGAUUGCUCUGGGAGACUUUGUUUUAAUAAGAAAAGGCCUGGGCAGCUCGGUCAGUGUGUUAGCACUCCGUGUUACCACUGAGGGCAGCACAGCAGAGCCUGUGCCCUGCUCGGGUCUGAGUUCAGUUUUCAGGUGUUGAUGAGCAUUCGUAAUGCUCUUCUUUGAUGCUUUGCAAAUGACUCCCUGAUAGUGCAUUAUUUAUAGCAGAUGUUAAUUUAAUAGAGUGAACUUUGUUACCCUUCAGGAUAUAAGCAUCUUAAUUUAAAAAAAAAAAAAAGGAAAAAAAAGCACCCUGACAAAAUGUAGCUGUAAAUCAAAGGUCAACAGGCAAACAGCCUGAAGGUAUUGUUUGCUCAGUUGUUAAAUUGAUACUGUGAUGCUUUCUUAAAUGUAAUAUUUCUUUAGUGACAGGAAGGUUAAGUACAAGUUGUACUGUUAUGCGAAAGGAGUAAUGAACCUUAUUUAUUAGUGUUUUUCUAAAGCUGAUUGCUUGAAAUAAUUGCAAGUGCAGCACAGUAGUGCCAAAGCUUUUCACCGCGGCUCUGAGCAGCGGCUCUGGGCUCCCCUCCCUGUUCUGCUUUCACAUAAGGGCUCUGCCUCUCAGCCAUCCCCGCUGCUGGCAGAGAGGUCAGGCCUUCAUUCAUCAGCUCCUGGGUAAGAAAUGAGCACUUGGAAGAGCCCUUUCCAAGAACGGCUCUGUUCCCAAGAUACCAAACCCAGCGUGGGGAUGGUGGGCUCCUGCUUUGCGUUGGAGGGAGGUGAGUCCCAAGCUCUGUUGUUUGUUCGGGGUAUGGGAUUCAGCCUCUUCAGUCUGCAGUCAGAAAGAUAAUUUUAGAAAUCUCAGGAAUGUCUGCUCAAUAUGUUGAAACAGUUUUGUCCUUCUGCAGAAGUGUGUUUAUCUUUACCGUGGGACAAGGUCUAGUACGUUGUACGGAGACUGCUUCUCAGCCUGUUCUUCUGUUUUGAUGGAGUUAUCAAGAGUAAAACAAAAGCCCAAACAUUUAACCAUUCCAAGGCUGUCUGCUUUCCCUUCGCUCAGCUCUCGGCAUACUGAGCUGGGGAAGGUAUGAUGGUAAAUACUACCGCCUUGUUUCCAAAAGCUGUUGGGUUAGAUCUCUCACUGCAGCAUCUGAAGCAUUACUGGAAAUAUUCCGAACUGUUAUAACAACAUCUCUGGUGUUAUUUUUCUUUUCCAAAAGUCUUUCCCUUCCCACUAUUUCCUGGCAGAGGAUGCUAAUGAGCAGAGCUGCAGGUGAAUCAUGCAGCAGCAGUGAGCAGAGAUGCUGCCCUUCCCUUCAGAUGGCAGCGGUGAUUCUCAGAGUGCACUGCAUUUUUCAUUAUGUUUGUGCAUUUCCAAAUUGUUAAAUGCUUUUUCCAGUUACAAAGUUUGUUCUGAUUGAGUGUUGGUAGAGGCUUCGGUGUGCUGAAAUUUGGGUCAACAACUCGAAGCAUAUGGCAUUAAAAUUCCCAGUGCUGCAUCUCUUUAAGGCAACAAUGCUCUGGGUUAAACCCAAGUGCUCCUACUCCUGAGGAGAUGGCUGAGUAUGGCUUCCUUUCCAACAGAGCACCCUGGAGAUAGCUCUACAAUUACAGCCUGUAUCUCUAUGUGGAUAAUCAGCUACCUUGUAUUUCCUGUUUGUUUUACAUUUCAGUAGUUUGAGCUGGCUCUGUCUUCAGGGAUCUAAAUGUAAUGAAGUUGUUUACAGCUGUAAGCUUGGAGAUGCAUCAGUCAGUCAAUGUGACAUGGAAGGAACCACUUGGAUGGCACAGAGAAACCAACAAAUGGUCUGCUCCUGUCCAGGCAUGGUUCUGUGGGGCUGUUGUUGCUGUUGGGUUCACCAGACUUCAGCAUGUUCAAAACAGCAUCUAUAGUAUUAAAACAUAUGUUUACAUAUGUUUACAGGAUUUUGAGUUGAUGCCUAACUAGCACUGUUCUGUAGUUAUCUGACUUAAGGUCUUCACCAGAAGGCACGCAGACUUGCUGAAGUGGUGUGGUGGGCUUUGCGUUCCCUGGGCAGGUUUGAGGACAGCUUUGAGGACAGGUACACCUCUGGUGGGGGCUUCCCCUCGCUGGGGCUUCUGAUCCCUCAGGGUGUUUUUUUCCCUUUCCUGUGGACUUUAUUGAUCACGGAAUGCAGCUCAAGCCAAGACUUGAAUGUUGAGCUGGAGGGGAAGCUGUUGCCAGCCCUCCACUAACAAAGCUCUUCUCUGUAAAAUCCUGAAGAAAGCUCGAGGCUGUUUCAGGUGUUGGGGAUGCCCAACCUGUGUGGUGCUCGUGCAAUAUGUGCCCAGCCCUGCUUCCUGCUGCUCUGCCCGGGCCAUGCCUAGCCCUGCUGCAGCCCCCUACCUC
ensembl:lncRNA